rnacentral:rRNA from 1 species
GUGUCAGCAGCCGCGGUAAUACGUAGGGGGCAAGCGUUGUCCGGAAUCAUUGGGCGUAAAGCGCGUGUAGGCGGCUCGGUAAGUCCGUUCUGAAAGCCCGGGGCUCAACCCCGGGAGGCGGAUGGAUACUGUCGAGCUCGAGUACGGAAGAGGCGAGUGGAAUUCCCGGUGUAGCGGUGAAAUGCGCAGAUAUCGGGAGGAACACCAAUGGCGAAGGCAGCUCGCUGGGACGUUACUGACGCUGAGACGCGAAAGCGUGGGGAGCAAACAGGAUUAGAUACCCUGGUAGUCCACGCCGUAAACGAUGGAUACUAGGUGUGGGAGGUGUCGACUCCUCCCGUGCCGAAGCUAACGCAUUAAGUAUCCCGCCUGGGGAGUACGGCCGCAAGGCUAAA